rnacentral:misc_RNA from 1 species
AAGUCGUAACAAGGUUUCCGUAGGUGAACCUGCGGAAGGAUCAUUACCAAUCUAGAGCUGCGCUUGCGUAGCCUCUUGCACCUUGUGAACUUGUGACUGCUUUCUGAGCAGCCUUUGGCCAGCUUGCUGGCCGAGGGACAACUAAAACCUUUUGUAAACCAUACUUAGAAAACACAAACUAAUACAACCUUUAACAAUGGAUCUCUUGGUUCCU